UUGGAGGAUUUGAAGAGUUCUACUUGCAAACUUGACAAAUUUGAAGACUUGAACUUGCAGAGUUGGAGGAUUAGAAGACUUCAACU
rnacentral:pre_miRNA from 1 species